GACAGAGGAUGCAAGCGUUAUCCGGAAUUAUUGGGCGUAAAGAGCUCGUAGGCGGUUUGUCGCGUCUGCUGUGAAAACCCGAGGCUCAACCUCGGGCCUGCAGUGGGUACGGGCAGACUAGAGUGCGGUAGGGGAGAUUGGAAUUCCUGGUGUAGCGGUGGAAUGCGCAGAUAUCAGGAGGAACACCAAUGGCGAAGGCAGAUCUCUGGGCCGUAACUGACGCUGAGGAGCGAAAGCAUGGGGAGCGAACAGG
rnacentral:rRNA from 1 species